GCCGGUGUGGUGAAAUUGGUAGACGCGCUAGACUCAAAAUCUUGUGGGCAUCCCCCGUGUCGGUUCGAGUCCGACCACCGGCACCA
rnacentral:tRNA from 2 species